rnacentral:rRNA from 1 species
GAUGAACGCUGGCGGCGUGCCUAAUACAUGCAAGUCGAGCGAACAGACGAGGAGCUUGCUCCUCUGACGUUAGCGGCGGACGGGUGAGUAACACGUGGAUAACCUACCUAUAAGACUGGGAUAACUUCGGGAAAUCGGAGCUAAUACCGGAUAAUAUAUUGAACCGCAUGGUUCAAUAGUGAAAGACGGUUUUGCUGUCACUUAUAGAUGGAUCCGCGCCGCAUUAGCUAGUUGGUAAGGUAACGGCUUACCAAGGCGACGAUGCGUAGCCGACCUGAGAGGGUGAUCGGCCACACUGGAACUGAGACACGGUCCAGACUCCUACGGGAGGCAGCAGUAGGGAAUCUGCCGCAAUGGGCGAAAGCCUGACGGAGCAACGCCGCGUGAGUGAUGAAGGUCUUCGGAUCGUAAAACUCUGUUAUUAGGGAAGAACAAAUGUGUAAGUAACUAUGCACGUCUUGACGGUACCUAAGCAGAAAGCCACGGCUAACUACGU